GGAGAGAUGGCUGAGUGGUUGAUAGCUCCGGUCUUGAAAACCGGUAUAGUUUUGAAAAAAAAAGAACUAUCGAGGGUUCGAAUCCCUCUCUCUCCU
rnacentral:tRNA from 3 species